GAUCAUGGCUCAGGACGAACGCUGGCGGCGUGCUUAACACAUGCAAGUCGAACGAGAAUCUACAGAUCGAGGAUUCGUCCAAGAGAAGUAGAGGACAGUGGCGGACGGGUGAGUAACGCGUGAGGAACCUGCCUUUCAGAGGGGGACAACAGUUGGAAACGACUGCUAAUACCGCAUGACACAUUGGGGUCGCAUGGCCUUGAUGUCAAAGAUUUAUCGCUGAAAGAUGGCCCCG
rnacentral:rRNA from 1 species